rnacentral:tRNA from 1 species
GGAGAGGUGCUAGAGUGGUUGAAUAGGCCGGUCUCGAAAACCGGUGUCCUGCGUAAGCGGGACCGUGGGUUCGAAUCCCACCCUCUCCG